rnacentral:rRNA from 1 species
AAUGACGCUGGCGGCAGGCCUAUCACAUGCAUCACGAGCGGUAGCACAGAGAGCUUGCUCUCCGGUGACGAGCGGCGGACGGGUGAGUAAUGUCUGGGAAACUGCCUGAUGGAGGGGGAUAACUACUGGAAACGGUAGCUAAUACCGCAUAAUGUCGCAAGACCAAAGUGGGGGACCUUCGGGCCUCAUGCCAUCAGAUGUGCCCAGAUGGGAUUAGCUAGUAGGUGGGGUAACGGCUCACCUAGGCGACGAUCCCUAGCUGGUCUGAGAGGAUGACCAGCCACACUGGAACUGAGACACGGUCCAGACUCCUACGGGAGGCAUCAGUGGGGAAUAUUGCACAAUGGGCGCAAGCCUGAUGCAGCCAUGCCGGGUGUGUGAAGAAGGCCUUCGGGUUGUAAAGCACCUUCAGCGGGGAGGAAAGGGGUUAAGGUAAUAACCUUGUCCAUUGAUCUUUCCCCAAAAAAAGCACCCAUCUAACUUCGGGGCGCUGGCUCGGUGAAACGGAGAGGGGAAGCUCUUCUCGGAACUUCUAGUCACACACGCGCCCCAGCGGUUGUGCCAGCCCGAAUUAAAUCUCUGAGUUUCAACCUGGAAACUGCUCUCCAAACUGGGAGGUAUAACUUUGGUAACGGGGGAAGCAAUUCCGGGGGAACCCUCAACUGCAUCAAAAUCUGUAAGAAAUCGACGGCGAGGUAUCACCUGAAUAAAUUGAAUUUUUCGGAAAAAACCGUCGUCCUAGCGGAGGAACCCCUGCAACCGUACCCAAAAAAUGCUAUUCGUUGAUCGUCACUUG